rnacentral:rRNA from 1 species
GAUGAACGCUGGCGGCGUGCCUAAUACAUGCAAGUCGAACGGACAGACCAGGAUUUUGCUCCUCUGUCGUUAGCCGCGAGCGGGGGAGUCACACGUGGAUCACCUCCCUAUAAGACUGGGAUCACUUCGAAACACCGGAGCUUAUACCUGAUAAUCUAUUGAACCGCAUGGUUCAAUAGUUAGUGACGGUUUUUCUGUCACUUAUCGAUGCUUCCGCGCCGCAUUAGCUAGUUGGUAAGGUUACGGCUUACCAAGGCAACGAUGCGUAGCCGACCUGAGAGGGUGAUCGGCCACACGGGAACUGAGACAGGGUCAAGACGCCUAAGGGAGGGAGCAGUAGGGAAUCGGAAGCAAGGGGCGAAAGCCUGACGCAGCAGCGGCGAGUGAGUGAUGAAGGUCUUCGGAUCGGAAAACUCUGUUAUUAGGGAAGAACAGAUGUGUAAGUAAAUAUGCAGGUCGUGACGGUAAUGGAUCAAAAAGCCACGGCUAACUACGUG